AGCAAGAUCUAAAACCAUAGUGCGCUAAGAAGAAUUUGUCAGAGAGCAAGGAUCCACGCAGAUCUUUGGGCGAGAAGUUUUACGUGAGUCAGGCUUACUUCUGUUUCUUAGUGAAUAGUUAAAAACUGAUUAUCCUAGAUGCACGUGGUUGUUUUAGUUUUCAUCGGAGUUCAGAGUUAUAAGCACACAAUCGAUCCUGUGAUCGAGUCAGUCUUCUUUCAUCGUCUCUUAUUUUGCAUUUUGUGUUGAGAUGACUGUUAAAAUCGUGGCAUUGUGAUUUCAAUGGUGUUCCUUGGCGGAUCACACGUCGCUGAGUACAUGUGUCAGAACAAAUUAUUCUUGCAGCACUGUAGUUGUCUUGUAUACAUAAGUAAGCAGAUCCUCUCCUCAUUAGCAAGUUGAUUUAGUUUAUUUGGAAACCACAUUCGGUGAAUUGUAGAAAAUGUCUCUGCCUUGAGUUUAUUAUGAUGAACAAAAGUGUUCGUGUGAAGACGUUGUUGGGAUGGUGACUUUUGCUGUAAAAUUACUUACAAGUUCAGAAAGCAGAAUUCUUUGAUUUUAGAAAGCCUAGAAAAAUUAUUUAUAUUUUAAGAUUGGUGCAGGCUUUUGUUAGCAAAAAUGGAAUUUUCAAAUCAAGGCUUACCCUAUCAGUUUUUGAGGCUUGUGUCUCAUAGAGUGGAGACUACAGCAUUUAGACACUCUAUUCGUGUGGGAGAGACAUGUGACUGUUGUAUGAAGCUCUUGAACAACUAGUAUACCAGUUGUUUGAUAUAUUGUCUUUGACAGGAACUUAAUACACCAUUUAACAUUUUCAAAAAGGGUACAUUCUCUGGAAACUGGAGCUAUGUUAAAUUAAAGCCAACGUUAUUGAAUGGAAGUUAUACAGUGUCGUACAUAUUAGGAUGGUGGGGGAAAGGGGGAGCUAACUUAUCGCAAAACCGAAGUGAAAUUUAUACAAUGUUGUACAUACAUUUUACUUGCUAGAUAGAUUGGCAACCCAUCAGUGUGUCACCUGCAUAACUGUGCGCACGAGAUAAUUAUUAAAGUACACAUGGCAGAUCAAAUUCCACCCUUACCAGGGAAAUUUUAGAAGGGCAAAAAUGUCCUGCUGUGCUGUAGAUUUUUUUUUUGCAUUACGUAAGUAUGCAGAUUUGCCGAAGACUGUAUUUCCUGUGGGUUGGUUAGAAAAUAAUUUAGUUUGGAAAUAGAGGCCAUCAGGAACCAUAUACUUUAUUUUUAGACGUUCAGGCUUUGAUUGGAAAAAAUGGAAUUUCAGCAUCAAGGCAUGUUUACAGGAUGUCGUAAAACCAGCAACCUUUCAAUUAGCGAGUUGUUUGUGUGCAUUCUACAGUGGGGUAAAGCAAUUGUGAGGGAGUUUAAUGGUGUUUAAUUUUUUUGGGUUUGUACAGACCUUUCACAUUCGAGUUUAAAAAAAAGUAAGUUUAUGUAUGCAUGAAUGUCAAUGGAAAAAAGAAACCAAAAGAAUGUUGAAAAGAAACCAUUCCGAAGUGGAAACUCUCAUGGAGAAUGCAAAAUUUGGUGGAAACAUAAGCCAUACCUAUGUUAGUGAAUGGAAGUUAUAGGAUGUUAUACAUAUAUUGAACUUGCUCCACACAUUAGCAAGUCAUUAGUGUGUCUUAUUUUUAGCCGACUAAAUCCACAGCUUUUCAAGUGUUACACCAUUCAGGAUUACUUUCGUUUCUUAGUGUUAAUAGUUACAGAUGGUUAAAGACUGAUUGAUGUAAUAAGAUAUCCUAGAUGCACCUGGUGGUUUUUAACUUUUAUCCUAGUUCGGAGUUAUAAGCACACAAUCACUUGAAAUGUCCCUGUGGAAAUGAUGGAUCCCAAAGUGAUCAUGGUGUUAUUACUGUUCUUACUGUUUUUAAGUUAUUAUGAUUAUAUUUAUUUGUUUGUUUUGAAAUAUUCACUUCAUGGGUGCCUUUUUCAUUUCAGAUCGUUGGGUUUCAUGGCACAGGAGCUGUAGUGAGAUGUUUUGAGGAUAGAAAAGAGAAUGAACAUGACCUGAUUUUUCAAAUCGGCAAUGUUUGAGAUUUUUUCCCAAAAUGUCCUCAAGAAAAUAAAAAGAAGAAAAAAAGGGCAUACCAAUGUCUAAGGUAAGUCUCUGAACAUUCAGAAUAAUAGAAUACUGAUACUCUUUCUAGGUUAAGAGAAAUGGUAAUGACAAACACGCCAGCCCCACGCAGUUUUAAAAAUGGACCUUGCAUUUUCUAUCAAAUUUGCCAUAUUGGACGCACGUAUUUCCUCAGACUGGUGACUCAUUUAAUGAUUACCUAACGACCUAUUUUCAGAGGCUUUUCACAUAAACUUUAUUGGACAAAGACUAUAAAUAUAGAUACAGAUAAGAAUAUCAAUGAAAUGAAUAAAGCCCAAAAGGAGAGGGCUCGAACAGGACACUGAGACCCAUGUGAGGCACCUACCCAUCGUGUAGACUUCAUUUUGGUCAAAAUUAUAUGGUGAAAGGAUUUUAAACUGACAACAAAAAACGGUGAACCAUGUGGAUGGAAAAACUGAAAUUUUAAUAGUCAAGUUAGAAAAGUACCUUGAAAACAGAUUUCACAACUACAAUGGGACAUUCAAGUAGCGAAGAAUGACCUGAUUCUGUAGAAAAUAAAGAAGUUCUGCAAGGUGAAAUCUAGGUAGUUAAAUAUUAAGCUUUUUGUGCGCUUCAAUGCAACCGCACGAGACACAGCUGACAGCAACUUUCAUAUGAUGUGAGUAAAGAAUUUCUCCCUAGCUGAUGUGACAAUAUUGUGUGCGAGGUAUUCUUCAGUUAUGUUUGCUUUUCAUGACAACAGUUUUGUUGAUUUUUUUUGUUCGUUUGUUCACAAGAUUGCUUGGCGUUUCUUACAGGAUUGCUUGGCAGCAAGAACAGAUGUCUAACCAUGGUGAGGAGGUAGGGGUUUAAACUGUAUUUACUUUCAGUAUCUAACUUCGUUUUGCUAUCUCGUAUCUACACCAGGUUCGCUUUUCCUAGGCUAACGAUCAGGAGCAGAUGUCCGCCAUGGUGAGGAGGUAGGGUUCGAAUGCAACAAACGACAAUUGAAUUGCUCUUUACUGCAACUGUAUCUUUAUUUAUUUUCUUACUUAACUUCAUUUUACCAUCUCUUAUCUACAUCUCGUUUGUUUUUUCUAGGUUAAUGAGGAGGAGCAGAUGUCUAGUCAUGGUGAAGAGGUAAGGGUUUAAAUGGAACAAAAUACAAUUGUAUUGCUCUUUAUGACAACUGUAGCUGUAUUUAUUUUCUGUAUCUUACUUCGUUUUACCAGCUCUUAGUUUUCCACUACGUACCAUGAAAGUAAAUGCAAUAAAGAAGUGAUUGUUAAAUCAUGCCAUUGGGUUUCAACAGCGGUUCUCGGCUGAUCGCACAUCGCAGUCGGGAUUGCGACAGUGCAAAAAAAUUACAACAGCAAGAUCUAAAACCAUAGUGCGCUAAGAAGAAUUUGUCAGAGAGCAAGGAUCCACGCAGAUCUUUGGGCGAGAAGUUUUACGUGAGUCAGGCUUACUUCUGUUUCUUAGUGAAUAGUUAAAAACUGAUUAUCCUAGAUGCACGUGGUUGUUUUAGUUUUCAUCGGAGUUCAGAGUUAUAAGCACACAAUCGAUCCUGUGAUCGAGUCAGUCUUCUUUCAUCGUCUCUUAUUUUGCAUUUUGUGUUGAGAUGACUGUUAAAAUCGUGGCAUUGUGAUUUCAAUGGUGUUCCUUGGCGGAUCACACGUCGCUGAGUACAUGUGUCAGAACAAAUUAUUCUUGCAGCACUGUAGUUGUCUUGUAUACAUAAGUAAGCAGAUCCUCUCCUCAUUAGCAAGUUGAUUUAGUUUAUUUGGAAACCACAUUCGGUGAAUUGUAGAAAAUGUCUCUGCCUUGAGUUUAUUAUGAUGAACAAAAGUGUUCGUGUGAAGACGUUGUUGGGAUGGUGACUUUUGCUGUAAAAUUACUUACAAGUUCAGAAAGCAGAAUUCUUUGAUUUUAGAAAGCCUAGAAAAAUUAUUUAUAUUUUAAGAUUGGUGCAGGCUUUUGUUAGCAAAAAUGGAAUUUUCAAAUCAAGGCUUACCCUAUCAGUUUUUGAGGCUUGUGUCUCAUAGAGUGGAGACUACAGCAUUUAGACACUCUAUUCGUGUGGGAGAGACAUGUGACUGUUGUAUGAAGCUCUUGAACAACUAGUAUACCAGUUGUUUGAUAUAUUGUCUUUGACAGGAACUUAAUACACCAUUUAACAUUUUCAAAAAGGGUACAUUCUCUGGAAACUGGAGCUAUGUUAAAUUAAAGCCAACGUUAUUGAAUGGAAGUUAUACAGUGUCGUACAUAUUAGGAUGGUGGGGGAAAGGGGGAGCUAACUUAUCGCAAAACCGAAGUGAAAUUUAUACAAUGUUGUACAUACAUUUUACUUGCUAGAUAGAUUGGCAACCCAUCAGUGUGUCACCUGCAUAACUGUGCGCACGAGAUAAUUAUUAAAGUACACAUGGCAGAUCAAAUUCCACCCUUACCAGGGAAAUUUUAGAAGGGCAAAAAUGUCCUGCUGUGCUGUAGAUUUUUUUUUUGCAUUACGUAAGUAUGCAGAUUUGCCGAAGACUGUAUUUCCUGUGGGUUGGUUAGAAAAUAAUUUAGUUUGGAAAUAGAGGCCAUCAGGAACCAUAUACUUUAUUUUUAGACGUUCAGGCUUUGAUUGGAAAAAAUGGAAUUUCAGCAUCAAGGCAUGUUUACAGGAUGUCGUAAAACCAGCAACCUUUCAAUUAGCGAGUUGUUUGUGUGCAUUCUACAGUGGGGUAAAGCAAUUGUGAGGGAGUUUAAUGGUGUUUAAUUUUUUUGGGUUUGUACAGACCUUUCACAUUCGAGUUUAAAAAAAAGUAAGUUUAUGUAUGCAUGAAUGUCAAUGGAAAAAAGAAACCAAAAGAAUGUUGAAAAGAAACCAUUCCGAAGUGGAAACUCUCAUGGAGAAUGCAAAAUUUGGUGGAAACAUAAGCCAUACCUAUGUUAGUGAAUGGAAGUUAUAGGAUGUUAUACAUAUAUUGAACUUGCUCCACACAUUAGCAAGUCAUUAGUGUGUCUUAUUUUUAGCCGACUAAAUCCACAGCUUUUCAAGUGUUACACCAUUCAGGAUUACUUUUGUUUCUUAGUGUUAAUAGUUACAGAUGGUUAAAGACUGAUUGAUGUAAUAAGAUAUCCUAGAUGCACCUGGUGGUUUUUAACUUUUAUCCUAGUUCGGAGUUAUAAGCACACAAUCACUUGAAAUGUCCCUGUGGAAAUGAUGGAUCCCAAAGUGAUCAUGGUGUUAUUACUGUUCUUACUGUUUUUAAGUUAUUAUGAUUAUAUUUAUUUGUUUGUUUUGAAAUAUUCACUUCAUGGGUGCCUUUUUCAUUUCAGAUCGUUGGGUUUCAUGGCACAGGAGCUGUAGUGAGAUGUUUUGAGGAUAGAAAAGAGAAUGAACAUGACCUGAUUUUUCAAAUCGGCAAUGUUUGAGAUUUUUUCCCAAAAUGUCCUCAAGAAAAUAAAAAGAAGAAAAAAAGGGCAUACCAAUGUCUAAGGUAAGUCUCUGAACAUUCAGAAUAAUAGAAUACUGAUACUCUUUCUAGGUUAAGAGAAAUGGUAAUGACAAACACGCCAGCCCCACGCAGUUUUAAAAAUGGACCUUGCAUUUUCUAUCAAAUUUGCCAUAUUGGACGCACGUAUUUCCUCAGACUGGUGACUCAUUUAAUGAUUACCUAACGACCUAUUUUCAGAGGCUUUUCACAUAAACUUUAUUGGACAAAGACUAUAAAUAUAGAUACAGAUAAGAAUAUCAAUGAAAUGAAUAAAGCCCAAAAGGAGAGGGCUCGAACAGGACACUGAGACCCAUGUGAGGCACCUACCCAUCGUGUAGACUUCAUUUUGGUCAAAAUUAUAUGGUGAAAGGAUUUUAAACUGACAACAAAAAACGGUGAACCAUGUGGAUGGAAAAACUGAAAUUUUAAUAGUCAAGUUAGAAAAGUACCUUGAAAACAGAUUUCACAACUACAAUGGGACAUUCAAGUAGCGAAGAAUGACCUGAUUCUGUAGAAAAUAAAGAAGUUCUGCAAGGUGAAAUCUAGGUAGUUAAAUAUUAAGCUUUUUGUGCGCUUCAAUGCAACCGCACGAGACACAGCUGACAGCAACUUUCAUAUGAUGUGAGUAAAGAAUUUCUCCCUAGCUGAUGUGACAAUAUUGUGUGCGAGGUAUUCUUCAGUUAUGUUUGCUUUUCAUGACAACAGUUUUGUUGAUUUUUUUUGUUCGUUUGUUCACAAGAUUGCUUGGCGUUUCUUACAGGAUUGCUUGGCAGCAAGAACAGAUGUCUAACCAUGGUGAGGAGGUAGGGGUUUAAACUGUAUUUACUUUCAGUAUCUAACUUCGUUUUGCUAUCUCGUAUCUACACCAGGUUCGCUUUUCCUAGGCUAACGAUCAGGAGCAGAUGUCCGCCAUGGUGAGGAGGUAGGGUUCGAAUGCAACAAACGACAAUUGAAUUGCUCUUUACUGCAACUGUAUCUUUAUUUAUUUUCUUACUUAACUUCAUUUUACCAUCUCUUAUCUACAUCUCGUUUGUUUUUUCUAGGUUAAUGAGGAGGAGCAGAUGUCUAGUCAUGGUGAAGAGGUAAGGGUUUAAAUGGAACAAAAUACAAUUGUAUUGCUCUUUAUGACAACUGUAGCUGUAUUUAUUUUCUGUAUCUUACUUCGUUUUACCAGCUCUUAGUUUUCCACUACGUACCAUGAAAGUAAAUGCAAUAAAGAAGUGAUUGUUAAAUCAUGCCAUUGGGUUUCAACAGCGGUUCUCGGCUGAUCGCACAUCGCAGUCGGGAUUGCGACAGUGCAAAAAAAUUACAACAGCAAGAUCUAAAACCAUAGUGCGCUAAGAAGAAUUUGUCAGAGAGCAAGGAUCCACGCAGAUCUUUGGGCGAGAAGUUUUACGUGAGUCAGGCUUACUUCUGUUUCUUAGUGAAUAGUUAAAAACUGAUUAUCCUAGAUGCACGUGGUUGUUUUAGUUUUCAUCGGAGUUCAGAGUUAUAAGCACACAAUCGAUCCUGUGAUCGAGUCAGUCUUCUUUCAUCGUCUCUUAUUUUGCAUUUUGUGUUGAGAUGACUGUUAAAAUCGUGGCAUUGUGAUUUCAAUGGUGUUCCUUGGCGGAUCACACGUCGCUGAGUACAUGUGUCAGAACAAAUUAUUCUUGCAGCACUGUAGUUGUCUUGUAUACAUAAGUAAGCAGAUCCUCUCCUCAUUAGCAAGUUGAUUUAGUUUAUUUGGAAACCACAUUCGGUGAAUUGUAGAAAAUGUCUCUGCCUUGAGUUUAUUAUGAUGAACAAAAGUGUUCGUGUGAAGACGUUGUUGGGAUGGUGACUUUUGCUGUAAAAUUACUUACAAGUUCAGAAAGCAGAAUUCUUUGAUUUUAGAAAGCCUAGAAAAAUUAUUUAUAUUUUAAGAUUGGUGCAGGCUUUUGUUAGCAAAAAUGGAAUUUUCAAAUCAAGGCUUACCCUAUCAGUUUUUGAGGCUUGUGUCUCAUAGAGUGGAGACUACAGCAUUUAGACACUCUAUUCGUGUGGGAGAGACAUGUGACUGUUGUAUGAAGCUCUUGAACAACUAGUAUACCAGUUGUUUGAUAUAUUGUCUUUGACAGGAACUUAAUACACCAUUUAACAUUUUCAAAAAGGGUACAUUCUCUGGAAACUGGAGCUAUGUUAAAUUAAAGCCAACGUUAUUGAAUGGAAGUUAUACAGUGUCGUACAUAUUAGGAUGGUGGGGGAAAGGGGGAGCUAACUUAUCGCAAAACCGAAGUGAAAUUUAUACAAUGUUGUACAUACAUUUUACUUGCUAGAUAGAUUGGCAACCCAUCAGUGUGUCACCUGCAUAACUGUGCGCACGAGAUAAUUAUUAAAGUACACAUGGCAGAUCAAAUUCCACCCUUACCAGGGAAAUUUUAGAAGGGCAAAAAUGUCCUGCUGUGCUGUAGAUUUUUUUUUUGCAUUACGUAAGUAUGCAGAUUUGCCGAAGACUGUAUUUCCUGUGGGUUGGUUAGAAAAUAAUUUAGUUUGGAAAUAGAGGCCAUCAGGAACCAUAUACUUUAUUUUUAGACGUUCAGGCUUUGAUUGGAAAAAAUGGAAUUUCAGCAUCAAGGCAUGUUUACAGGAUGUCGUAAAACCAGCAACCUUUCAAUUAGCGAGUUGUUUGUGUGCAUUCUACAGUGGGGUAAAGCAAUUGUGAGGGAGUUUAAUGGUGUUUAAUUUUUUUGGGUUUGUACAGACCUUUCACAUUCGAGUUUAAAAAAAAGUAAGUUUAUGUAUGCAUGAAUGUCAAUGGAAAAAAGAAACCAAAAGAAUGUUGAAAAGAAACCAUUCCGAAGUGGAAACUCUCAUGGAGAAUGCAAAAUUUGGUGGAAACAUAAGCCAUACCUAUGUUAGUGAAUGGAAGUUAUAGGAUGUUAUACAUAUAUUGAACUUGCUCCACACAUUAGCAAGUCAUUAGUGUGUCUUAUUUUUAGCCGACUAAAUCCACAGCUUUUCAAGUGUUACACCAUUCAGGAUUACUUUUGUUUCUUAGUGUUAAUAGUUACAGAUGGUUAAAGACUGAUUGAUGUAAUAAGAUAUCCUAGAUGCACCUGGUGGUUUUUAACUUUUAUCCUAGUUCGGAGUUAUAAGCACACAAUCACUUGAAAUGUCCCUGUGGAAAUGAUGGAUCCCAAAGUGAUCAUGGUGUUAUUACUGUUCUUACUGUUUUUAAGUUAUUAUGAUUAUAUUUAUUUGUUUGUUUUGAAAUAUUCACUUCAUGGGUGCCUUUUUCAUUUCAGAUCGUUGGGUUUCAUGGCACAGGAGCUGUAGUGAGAUGUUUUGAGGAUAGAAAAGAGAAUGAACAUGACCUGAUUUUUCAAAUCGGCAAUGUUUGAGAUUUUUUCCCAAAAUGUCCUCAAGAAAAUAAAAAGAAGAAAAAAAGGGCAUACCAAUGUCUAAGGUUGCUUGGCAUUUCUUACAGGAUUGCUUGGCAGCAAGAACAGAUGUCUAACCAUGGUGAGGAGGCUAACGAUCAGGAGCAGAUGUCCAGCCAUGGUGAGGAGGUAGGGUUUGAAUGCAACAAACGACAAUUGAAUUGCUCUUUACCACAACUGUGACUGUAUCUUUUUUUUUAUGUAUCUAACUUUGUUGUACCAGCUCUUAUCUACACCACGUUCGUUUUUGCUAGGUUAAUGAGCAGGAGCAGAUGUCUAGUCAUGGUAAGGAGGUAAGGGUCAAAAUACAAUAAACGACAAUUGAAUUGCUCUUUACUGCAACUGUAUCUCUAUUUAUUUUCUUCCUUAACUUCAUUUUACCAUCUCUUAUCUACAUCUCGUUUGUUUUUUUCUAGGUUAAUGAGGAGGAGCAGAUGUCUAGUCAUGGUGAAGAGGUAAGGGUUUAAAUGAAACAAAAUACAAUUGUAUUGCUCUUUAUGACAACUGUAGCUGUAUUUAUUUUCUGUAUCUAACUUUGUUUUACCAGCUCUUAGUUUUCCACUACGUACCAUGAAAGUAAAUGCAAUAAAGAAGUGAUUGUUAAAUCAUGCCAUUGGGUUUCAACAGCGGUUCUCGGCCGAUCGCACAUCGCAGUUGGAAUUGCGACAGUGCAAAAAAAUUACAAUAGUCUAUUUAUCUGUUCACCUCCUUGUUGUAAUUCUUGUGAUAAUUGUGUCAGUUGAGCAAAACAAGAGGGAGCUUUUAUUACCACACCAUCAACUACCUGGUAUGAGCCCAGAAUAAAAUGAAAUCGUGGAAUUCGUCACAGUUGUCCCAAUUAGUUGUUGCACUUUACAACAAUGCAUGCAGAAGUGAUGACAUUUAACUGUCAUUUCCAAGAUUCUGUCUGGAAAAUUGGAAAAUAAACAAAUGGAUGCUUAAACCAUCCUCCUACCCAGCAUCUUUGCUCCCUUUGACCAGUUCAUUUUGUCAAGCCAGCAUACACAGUAAUGAAGACUCAAGGUACAAUAUUGAUGCUUAAACGUAAGACAUGGGUUGCACUGUGGACUUUUUUGUUUUUUGUCACACAAGUUUGUCGGGGCAUUUACCCUAAGAGGGGUCACACGUUUGCGACAUAAAAGAUAUAUGGUGUCAUUCUGAUCAUAAUCAUUAUAAUGUCGGCCCAAAGCUGAAAAGGACUUUCUCAUCACUAAAGCAUCAUCACUUGCUUUGGCUACACUUUUCUUUUAAGACAUCUUCUCUCCCGAGGAUGCUUCUUUGUGAAACUGAAGGCUGCUCUAGACUGGGAGGUAAUGACAAAGCUGCUUGUGACUGUGCGUUUUGCUGCUGAAAACAAAUCGGCUGCAAGUCAUUUCCAAUAUGCUACGAAAACUGAAAGCCUUGAAAUUCAUACGGGUUAAAGUGGUUGGCCAUACUGAAGAAUUACAAUUGAUUGUGACAAUUGGGAAAAUGUUGAAGAGCUCUGUACACAUGAUGUGCGCUUGUGUUGUGAUAUCUAAUUUAAUUGCAGAAUUUCAGAUUUUAUUGAUAUUGUCACAAAAGAAAAUAAAAAAUUUUUUAAGGCCAUUAGGCAAGAUGUGACCUGCUUCAUGACAGAAUAUCAGUCUCUUUGACCUUAAGGCAUCACGGACAUAGUUAUGUCUGAUGUGAUCGCGAUAUAAGGGUCGCACAUGUCGCGAGCAUGCGAUGACAGAAUUUAUGUCCAAUGUAAACAUUGAUCCUGUUCAUUUUUGCUAGAGAGCCACAGCAAGCUGAGUUUCCAUCGCAAGUGGAAACAGCCGAAGUCAAAAGGGAAACCUAAACACCCAGUGAAAGUCCAUGUUUGGGCAGGCAUAUCAAAGAGGGGGCCAACAGAAUUCAUGGAGUUUGAAGGCAACAUGGACGUGCAGUUUUGUCUCUGAUCUCCUCAGCAAUGGGCUGCCACCAUUUAUCCGAAGAACCUUCCCUGACGGUCAUCGAUUCCAACAAAACGAUAACCUGAAGCAUACCAGCCAUCUUGCCACCAACUUCAUGGAAGACUACAGGAUCAACUGGUGGAAAACCCCUUCUGAGUCACCAGAUCUUAACCCCAUUGAUACGCUUUGGCACGAGCGAAAGCACUUCCUUAGAAACAUCAUAAAACCGAGAACAAAGGAAGAGCUAAUCAAUGGGAUAGAAAGAUUUUGGAAUGAGAGAAUGGAUGCAGAAAAGUGUACGAAGUAUAUCAGGCACUUGCACAAAGUCUUGCCGAUAGUUGUUGAGCAGCAGGGAAAACCUUCCAGAAACUAGUUCCCGGCUGCACUCUUCAGACACUGACAAAAACAACUCCUUUAGGAGGCACUUCUAAUAGAAGUGAUGACCAACACUGUCCAGUACAUGUAAUCCCAUGAGAGAACAUUAAGUCAAAUUCUUAGUUUCAUUAUUAAUAGAAACUUUGAAUUCUCCAGGACAUUCGAUUGAAUCGAAACCUGGCCAUUUCUGUUUCUUCCUUUUUUUCGUUUGUAAGGAAACACAUGCAGAAUAACAUUUAUGACAACCAUGGUGUUUAUGUUGAUAAGUAAGAAAAUAACAGUGGUGACAUGAAUUUAUCACACUUUCUGCCGACCAUGUUUGAACUCACAUAUUUCCAAGGGAUACUCAGUAGAUGGCUGUAUAUUUAGGUUUUCUAUCAUCUUUGUUACCCAGACUGUGAAAGCUUUUAAGGGACACUUAAUCAAACAUAUUUUAAAUGUUAAUAAUGUAAAUUCUUAAUAUUC
rnacentral:lncRNA from 1 species